rnacentral:tRNA from 1 species
GCAUUGGUGGUUCAGUGGUAGAAUGCUUGCCUUCCACGUGGGAAACCUGAGUUCUCAGCCAAUGUA